rnacentral:rRNA from 1 species
GACGAACGCUGGCGGCGUGCUUAACACAUGCAAGUCGAACGGUAAGGCUCCAGCUUGCUGGGGUACACGAGUGGCGAACGGGUGAGUAACACGUGGGUGACCUGCCCUGCACUUCGGGAUAAGCCUAGGAAACUGGGUCUAAUACCGGAUAGGACCAUGGUGUGGAUACUGUGGUGGAAAGUUUUUUCGGUGUGGGAUGGGCUCGCGGCCUAUCAGCUUGUUGGUGGGGUAAUGGCCUACCAAGGCGGCGACGGGUAGCCGGCCUGAGAGGGUGGACGGCCACAUUGGGACUGAGACACGGCCCAGACUCCUACGGGAGGCAGCAGUGGGGAAUAUUGCACAAUGGGCGGAAGCCUGAUGCAGCGACGCCGCGUGGGGGAUGACGGCCUUCGGGUUGUAAACUCCUUUCACCAUCGACGAAGGGUUUCUGACGGUAGAUGGAGAAGAAGCACCGGCUAACUACGUG